AAAGGGAUAGCUGGGUCAAAAGGUGGCUCCAUUCCUAGUUUUCAAAGGAAUCCCCAUACUGCUUUCCAGAUUGGCUGAACUGUUUUGCAGUCCCACCAGCAAU
rnacentral:pre_miRNA from 1 species